rnacentral:misc_RNA from 1 species
GAGGAACGUUAAAUAGGAACUGCUCGCUUUAAUUCUAAACUCCUGUGAAACAGGAACGUUAAACAGGAACGGGAGGAACCAUCCCGAACCCACCUUCAACUCACCCGUUGCCAUUCCUAAUCUCGAUGGGCCAAACUGAUACCAUGGAACCAGAAUACCAAACAAAAGUUGAGCAACUGUUUUGCCAUAAGCAAAAGCAAAAGGGAAGAAAAGCAUCCCUUAUCUAAAUUUGCCCUACUGAUAUCACAUUGUUUGCAUUAACAUUCUAAUCUCACCAUCAACUAAUCAAGAAAAGCAAAAAUUUCCAGGCAUUUAGAUUAACAAGUCAACACCCAUUACUUAAAUAAAUGAAAAGAAAAAGCUCUAGUAAAAUAACUCCAACAUCAUUUCAUAGGGGCUCAGCAUUAAGAGAAACAGAAAAGAAAAGGAAAACAAAUAUAUAAGUUUUACAAUUUACGUAUGCUGGGGCCAUAAACAUCUCAUUCUAGCUACCUGUGAAUGCCAAAGGGUCCUAAGUUGCCCAACUGAUUAUAUCAAACAUGGGAUACAACGUCAUGGGUCAUGACUCCUUAUUAUGAUCUUCAUCUCCUUCAUCAUCACCGUUCGUCUCGCUGCUGUGAUUAUAGUUUGCCAUCAUCACAACUUCAUGUGGGAAUUAAAGUUGCUCACACACACACCCUAAAUGGUGGCCAUGGAUGAUUUCUUGCGAAAGAGAAUUGAGUAAAGAAGAGAUUGCUGGGCUUUAAAGGAAUACUAAUUUGGUAUGUGGAGAGGGGAUCUUCCUG